rfam:Nitrincola sp. A-D6 Contig104, whole genome shotgun sequence.
UGUCUCUGCGUGAAGCAGAGCCUUAAUAUGGAGUAGAUUGAAUGGCCCGUAUAGCUGGCGUCAAUAUUCCUGAC